GACGGAGGGUGCAAGCGUUGUUCGGAAUCACUGGGCGUAAAGCGGGUGUAGGCGGCUCAGUAAGUCGAAUGUGAAAUCCCGCGGCUCAACCGCGGAAGUGCAUUCGAAACUGUUGUGCUUGAGUACGGGAGAGGGGAGUGGAAUUCCUGGUGUAGAGGUGAAAUUCGUAGAUAUCAGGAGGAACACCGGUGGCGAAGGCGGCUCCCUGGACCGAUACUGACGCUGAGACCCGAAGGCGUGGGGAGCAAACAGG
rnacentral:rRNA from 1 species